AAGUCGUAACAAGGUUUCCGUAGGUGAACCUGCGGAAGGAUCAUUAACAAAUAAAAGAAUUCCACAUUCUUAAACCCCUUCUGAGUACUUGUACCCGUUGCUUCCGUGGGUAGUGAGCAUCGUGCUUGCGUCUGUCCCUGCGAUGGACCCACGGGAGGUAUAUAUAUAAAGCUUCGUAUUUUGAUGGUAUCAGUCUGAGUAUGUUCAUUAAAUAAGAUAUCAAAACUUUCAACAACGGAUCUCUUGGUUCUC
rnacentral:misc_RNA from 1 species